GACGAACGCUGGCGGCGUGCCUAAUACAUGCAAGUAGAACGCUGAAGGAGGAGCUUGCCCUUCUGGAUGAGUUGCGAACGGGUGAGUAACGCGUAGGUAACCUGCCUGGUAGCGGGGGAUAACUAUUGGAAACGAUAGCUAAUACCGCAUAACAGUAGAUGUUGCAUGACGUUUGCUUAAAAGGUGGAAUUGCACCACUACCAGAUGGACCUGCGUUGUAUUAGCUAGUUGGUGGGGUAACGGCUCACCAAGGCGACGAUACAUAGCCGACCUGAGAGGGUGAGCGGCCACACUGGGACUGGGACACGGCCCAGACCUCUACGGGAGGCAGCAGUAGGGAAUCUUCGGCAAUAGACGGAAGUCUGACCGAGCAACGCCGCGUGAGGGAAGAAGGUUCUCGGAUCGUAAAGCUCUGUUGUAAGAGAAGAACGAGUGUGAGAGUGGAAAGUUCACACUGUGACGGUACCUUACCAGAAAGGGACGGCUAACUACGUG
rnacentral:rRNA from 1 species